UCUCUAAAUUACAUAAUAUGCUUUUUAAAAAUACGCGAUCUAUUGGAGAUGUUCUUCUGCCUUAACAUAAAUGUAUGUUCUUGUAUGAAUGAUACCCAACUAGCGUGUCUUAUAUUCAAGUUUGCCUAAGAAUUAAUAUAUUUGAGAGCUUUAUGAUCCGAGUUAAAGAUAAAUCUCUCGUUGAAUGAGAUACAAUCACCAAUGACAAAGCUUGAACAAUGGCAUAGAUCUCGAUAUCAUAAGUCAAAAAUAAAUAUUUUUUUCCUUGUCUCAUUUUGUUUUUCACUAAAGAAAGACAAUUGGAUGUCCUUCUUGGCUGAGUACUUAUCCAAUUCCCACGAGAUGCAUUACAAUCUGUUACCAAAUAUAACUGAGUUAAAUUUGGAAUAGAUUAGAUGUGCUAUUUUGGAGAUUGUAAUUUAUUUAGUUUCCUUGUAGAUUAAAAGAUUGUACAAAUAUAUGCACAAUAAGCCCUGAUUUUGCACCUCAGGUGGCAUUACCUCAGCUCCCGAUUUCACUUACUUUUUUUUUUCUAAAUCGAAGGGUCGAGGUGUUGCCACCUCGACUUCCUGUUUUUGAGCUUGGUUUUGCACCUGGCUGAGUAGCAUUUUUCAUUCACAAUAGGGCACCACAGAAUAAGGGAAGAAGUUUUUCAGAAAUUAUUCUGGUUUUUUUAUAUGGUAUUAGAACAGUGAUUUUUCCUCUCACCUGGACCUUCAUUACUCGUAUCUUCUUCUUCAGUUGGGCUGUGAGGAUUCCAGCCCUCUACGUUGCAUCUUUUCGAUUCUGGUGACACUGUUGGCGCUCUCUCUCGAAGCUUCAGGUCAGGUUCUCUCUAGUCAGGUUGACACGAACCCCUUUUUUCAAUCAUCGGAGGCGUUGUUGGUAGAUUCGGCCUCCUCUCUGUGUUCCUCAAGUUCUGACGACACCGGAAAAGGCUUCUCCAUUAUGUGUGGUUGGUUCUUAGCUGCCAGUGGG
rnacentral:lncRNA from 1 species